rnacentral:rRNA from 1 species
GGCUUUUUGAUAAUAAUUUAAGGUCUGACCUGCCCAAUGAUUUAAAUAUUUAAUGGCCGCGGUAUAUUGACCGUGCAAAGGUAGCAUAAUCAUUAGUUUUUUAAUUGAAAGCUUGUAUGAAAGGUUUGAUGAAAAAAUAACUGUCUUUAUUUAAGUUUGUUAGAAAUUUAUUUUUAAGUUAAAAAGCUUAAAUAUUUAUUAAAGACGAGAAGACCCUAUAGAGUUUUAUAUUUCUAUAGGAUUAUUAUAUUUAGGAUUUUUUAAUAGUUUUAAUAGAAUUAUUUGGUUGGGGUGAUUAAAAAAUUAAUUAAACUUUUUUAUUUUGAUUUACAUUGAUUUAUGGAUUUUUGAUCUUUAUAAAAGAUUAAUAGAUAAAAUUACCUUAGGGAUAACAGCGUAAUUUUUUUUAGAGUUCUUAUCGAAAAAAAAGAUUGCGACCUCGAUGUUGGAUUAAAAUUAAUUAUUGGUGUAGAAGCUAAUAAAUUAGGUCUGUUCGACCUUUAAAUUUUUACAUGAUCUGAGUUUAAACCGGUGUAAG